UAACACAAUCCACAUCCCGUUCUGUUCUGGAUUUACUGUAUACAACCUUGCCAACUACUAUUAAAGUAACCAUCCCCAGCAAAUCAUCCUUCCCACCUCAACACUCGUCUACCACAACAAGUACUACUACUACAACAUCAUACACAUCAAAAACUUCCACUGCACAUGAAAUCACUGUACCACCAACACCAACACAUGCACAAUCACCAUUACCUCAAACACCAUCUACCAUGAGUCCCAUCACACAUUCAGUGCAACUGACCUCACUCUUUGCAUUUUUAUCUGACUAUGUACAAGACACAAGUACACAAUCACUAACAUCCUCACCAAAACAACCAUCUUCAAAUGCAGCACACCAUACUGCAGUUUCUGUAUCAAGUAGUGUAUCUCCACCAGUUUCUGUAUCAAGUUGUGUAUCUCCACCAGUUUCUGUAUCAAGUAGUGUAUCUCCACAAGUUUCUGUAUCAAGUAGUGCAUCUCCACCAGUUGCUGUAUCAAGUAGUGUAUCUCCACCAGUUGCAAUAUAUUCACCUCUUACAUCUUCUCUACAGCCAACACCAAGGGAUCCAAUUUUGCAAUUCAGUGAGUAUCGUUCAAUUACAACUCCAUUGCCUGCUUCAGCAUUAACACUCACAUCUAAACAACUGUCAAUAAUUGCUACACUAACACAUGAAGCCUUUCAUCGUGAAUCAGAAACUAGCAUAACCUUUCCAUCUACAUUGCCUUUAGCACCAUCUGUGGGAAGUACUAACACGCACCUAACUUCUGCAACUAGCUCAUCUAAAGCAAUGCCUCUUACUUCAGCUAAUGCUAACCCAGCAGAGUUAAGCAUUUCAAGGACUACACUAAAUCCUCUCUUGACAGGUAAUGCUACUGAUAAGCCAUCAACAUCCACAUCUGGACAAUAUACAUCAGCUGAUGGUGUUGGAAGUACAGUUUCAUCAAAGCCAACCACAAAUCCAGUCUCUGCAGACAUACAUGACUUUCCUGAGGGCUCAUACACCGACAUGGCUUCCAACUCUUCAACUUUACCUUUAACAGCCUCUACAACAGAUCACUCAACAAUAUCUCUAUCAGGUAUAUCCUCAAUGUCAUCAGAAAUACCAACUGUAACACCAUCGUCAACAACACUGUCAACUACAUCUGAAAUGGCAAUUCACUCUGAAUUACUAUCGACAACUAAGAAUUCAGCAAUGCCAGGAGAAAGUAGCACUAGCGAAACGGCUUACACAUCUAUGCCUGAUAUCUCCAUGACAACUGAAACACCUGUCACCAUACCACAGCCGAUGACCACACAACUCUCUACAGAUCCAGCUAUUCCUUCAGAUGGUUCAGCUUACACAUCUAUGCCUGAUAACUCCAUGACAACUGAAACACCUGUCAAUACACAACAGCCGAUGACCACACCACUCUCUACAGAUGCAGCUAUUUCUUCCGAUGGUUCAGCCACACAAAUGCCCACCCAGACAACAUCAUUCUCCAUGGCAACUACUACAAGUCAUACUAGAGUGCGUACAUCGAGCCCAAGAGAGCCUCCUACAUCAAGUGUAUCAACUACUGCUGGGGGAAACACAGCACAUCAAACUAUAUCAGUUAUACAACAACAACCUAACCCAACUCUCACAUCAAAUUCCCAAUUGGUUUCCAACUUCAUAGGUCGAUUGACUACCCCUGAAGUUAUCUCCACAGCUAGGGUAACAACACAGCUGACAGCAAGUUCCUCUAUACCACAUGCAUUGACUGACCCAGCACAAGGUAUUACCUCAAACAGUCCAUUGCUGCCAGCUAGGGCUUCGGUGUCUACAACAUUAUCUUCCUCAACCACCACAUCUUCAGCAAAACCUGCCAUCUCUGUUGACACAACUGCGGAAGAACUUACUGCAACAAUAAUCCCUGGAAAUAACCCUUCAACUCAUUCACUGCAACAGACUACCACUCCAUCAGUGCUGUUAACUACCAGCGAAGUCAGCAAAUAUAGUCAAUUACAUGCUACUGCUGUUUCAUCUACAUCUGUAGUGGUCACCUCGACAACGCGCCACACAUCCCAAUCAUUCCCCUCAACGUUACAGACCACCACUGAAGGAAACGCAAAUGGACGGUUUUCAACUGAAUCCACUCUUUCAACAUCUAUACCAGGAAGCUCAGCAAAGCCGUCUACAACUCAGAAAACUA
ensembl:lncRNA